GGAUAAAAAGGAAGUCGGUUGCUAUCUUUGGUUAUCUAGCUGUAUGAGUGAUAAUCUGUCGUCAUAAAGCUAGAUCACCGAAAGUAGAAAUGGCUUCCAAAACAGCAAUUUGGACGAAUAAGUAUCAAGAACAAAUUGGCAAUUUACGGCCAGUCUGAAGCGAACAACAAAGGUACGGUCCAAAUCCCCCAUCAAUGACAUCUGUAAUGACUCUUAGCCUGACAGAAGCAAGAAGCAAAAGAAGCAAGCCUACAUGUGGAGAGACGACACACACACACACACACACAC